rnacentral:rRNA from 1 species
GACGUAGGGCGCGAGCGUUGUCCGGAUUUAUUGGGCGUAAAGAGCUCGUAGGCGGCUUGUCGCGUCGUCCGUGAAAACUUGGGGCUCAACCCCAAGCUUGCGGUCGAUACGGGCAGGCUCGAGUUCGGUAGGGGAGACUGGAAUUCCUGGUGUAGCGGUGAAAUGCGCAGAUAUCAGGAGGAGCACCGGUGGCGAAGGCGGGUCUCUGGGCCGAUACUGACGCUGAGGAGCGAAAGCGUGGGGAGCAAACAGG